CGUAGGUGGCAAGCGUUGUCCGGAUUUAUUGGGGCGUAAAGCGAGCGCAGGCGGUCUUUUAAGUCUGAUGUGAAAGACCCACCGGGCUUAACCGUGGAGGGUCAUUGGAAACUGGGAGACUUGAGUGCAGAAGAGGAAAGUGGAACGUCCAUGUGUAGCGGUGGAAUGCGUAGAUAUAUGGAAGAACACCAGUGGCGAAGGCGGCUUUACUGGUCUGUAACUGACGCUGAGGCUCGAAAGCGUGGGGGAGCAAACAGGGAUU
rnacentral:rRNA from 1 species